rnacentral:rRNA from 1 species
UACGUAGGGUGCGAGCGUUGUCCGGAAUUAUUGGGCGUAAAGGGCUCGUAGGCGGUCUGUCACGUCGGGAGUGAAAACACGGGGCUUAACCCCGUGCCUGCUUCCGAUACGGGCAGACUAGAGGUAUGCAGGGGAGAACGGAAUUCCUGGUGUAGCGGUGAAAUGCGCAGAUAUCAGGAGGAACACCGGUGGCGAAGGCGGCCAUCUGGACGGCUAUUGACGCUGAGACGCGAAAGCGUGGGGAGCAAACAGG